AUGUUCGAGUAUCUAAAUGUUGUCAGCAAGAUGUUUGAUAGUGAGGCUGAAGGGUAUGAAUUCUACAACAAAUAUGCUCUUGAAAAAGGUUUUAGUGUGAGGAGAAACUACGUUGAGUGGGAUGGAUCCAACAAAUACAUAAUUUUAAGG
rnacentral:rRNA from 1 species